rfam:Myotis lucifugus cont2.41830, whole genome shotgun sequence.
CAUGCACUGGUGGGGUCCUUCGGCCUGGCCUGUGCCCUCUAGCAAUCCAGGUUCUCUGAGGGGAUGUCAGAGAGCAGUUUUCACCUGAUCCCUGCAGGCCAGGCCGAGGGACCUCACCAGUGCAUG